GAAUAAAAGAAAAUAGUGGGGAGAUGUAAAAUAUUUUUUAAAUAAAUUAAAAUAGUGGAGAGAUGCAUGUCCCACUUGGGGAGGUGGAGGGAGCAACACCCGAAUUCUUUUCCUAAUCAACGCGACACCUUCAGCAUAGCCAUUCCAGAACCACAACGGCCCAAUCUUUCAGUGGCCCAAGAUGUCCAGUGCAGCAACGUAGGCCCAAUUUCUUCCACUUCAGCCCAA
rnacentral:lncRNA from 1 species